UACGUAGGGGGCAAGCGUUGUCCGGAUUUAUUGGGCGUAAAGAGCGUGUAGGCGGCCAAGCAGGUCAGCUGUGAAAACUCGAGGCUCAACCUCGAGACGUCGGUUGAAACCGCUUGGCUAGAGUCCGGAAGAGGAGAGUGGAAUUCCCGGUGUAGCGGUGAAAUGCGCAGAUAUCGGGAAGAACACCCGUGGCGAAGGCGGCUCUCUGGGACGUGACUGACGCUGAGACGCGAAAGCGUGGGGAGCGAACAGG
rnacentral:rRNA from 1 species